rfam:Pseudomonas fluorescens HK44 Contig17, whole genome shotgun sequence.
GUAACGGUCACCGCAAGGUUUCUGGUGAAGAUCACCAGACAGACUUCCGCGGUUCGCUUGACGAGCCGCAACCGGCAACGCCGGAAUUUAACCUGCCGGGAUUACACCGGC